UUUUUUUUCCCUAGCAAAAUAAAUUAUUUUAACGUCGAUAAUGUGUUUACUCAUUAUUGAAACUGACUUUAUUUCUGUAUAAUGACUAUUUACGUUAAUGUGUUAGUUUUAUAUGCGUGCACAGAGUUUUGAAUGUUUAUUUUUUGUGUAUUGGAUUUCUCCACGUGUUUGCUGAUGGGCAGACUUCAGUGUGUUGCUGGUCUUUGGCCCAACUACAGCUACUAGAAUGAAGGGAGGGGUGGGGGAUGAAAAAAAAAGUUAGUAUAUUCAUUAUUUGACAUUUUCUGUGUAGGCUAUAAGGAGCGAUACAUGAAACUGGCUAAAGUCAUUUGAUUGCUACAGUUAUUGUAGGAUUGGGAAGGGCAGCAACCCGUUUGUCUUUUUUGCCUAGCGCUGCCUUCCAAUAAACCGGCUAUUCGUGAACCCGAAAUCGGUGUUUUCGUCUGAUGAAUGGCUCGCUGGUCCAGAGUAGCAGAGGGAAACGAAAAAAUACCACGCAGAGACUUGUAUUUAUCAGCUGGAGUGAGUGGGCGAGGAUGCAAGGAUGGUGGGCAAAGUGUGCAGAGUUCCUGCAGCUCCAUAUGCUGGACAAAAAGCUAAAUUCAGGAUCUUGAUAUGGAUUCUUCAUUGAUCUAGUAUGGGUAAACAAAGCUGUGUUUUGGGACCCAUGGAGAUCCUCGCAGAGAAGGAGCAGAUUGUUCCAAAAGUGGAGGUUGAGCAGAAGAAAAAGACUAAGCAGUGGGAUUGGACACAGGGAUACUGGUGAGAGAAGUGUGCAGAGUUCCUGCUCCACCUGUUGGAGAAAGCAGAGAGCAACUUUGAGCUCAAGACAGUGGGCUAGGACGCAGGGAUGGUGGUCAAAGUGUGCAGAGCUCCUGCAGCUAAAAAAGCUCAAUUCAGGAUCUUGAUAUGGAUUCUCCAGUGAUCUAGUAUGGGUCAACAAAGCUGUGUUUUGGUACCCAUGGAGAUCCUCGCAGAGAAGGAGCAGAUUGUUCCAAAAGAAGUAGAGAUUGCUCAGAAGAAAAGGUUUCCAGGAUGAUUGGUGCAGGGGAAUAACAUACACAGUGCAUAAAAUAAAAACAAAUCAAGUAACCAGUAGAAAACCUGCUGUUUUUGUUUCUUCUUCUUUUCCCUUCUGCUGUAGUAGAUUUCUUUCACUCUGGAAAUGCCUUCAAGGUGGAGUCUUACCACAUACAUCCACUAACUUCAAGUUGAUCAAUUCCAGGGUUCACUUAAUAUUUAGUACUUGGGUAUAUUCUUUGACUUCUGUCCAGUGUCCAGUAAAAAUUGUAGUUUUACUGCCAUAUUGUUUUAACCUUUGCCAUGUCAUUGAUAGACCACACAUUUUCAGAUGGUGUCUUUACAGUUGGUACACAGCUAUUUUUCUGUAGGUUUGUCAAGUUCCAUUACCAGUGGUGUCAGGUAAAAAUAAGUUUCCCUAUCAAAUUGUUUUAAACACUGGCCGUAUCUGUAAUUCCCUUAUGUUCCUGGUGGAUGUUUGGUUUUAGUUUAUAAAUAAAUAAAUAAAAGUUGUGUUCAGCACAUUUGAAAGGGCUGCAUAUAUAAUGUCAUAUUCCACUUUGAUUUAAUGUUUUGCUUCAAAGACUACAUGACUAAAAAUUACAUGCAUGGGUUUGUAAACAUACUGUAGCUGUAGUUAUCAAUGGGAUGGUAGCAGUGUUUUAGUAAUACUAAUUUGACAAAUGUUUGUCUUAGUGUAGUAUUUGCAUGCUUACAUUUGUUUUAGUGUAAGGGGCAACAUAUAUACACACACAAAUCCUCAAAUGGGAAUGCACAUGCCCCUUAAAUAUUGAUGGUUAUUAAAUAUCCCUACUUUUUUCCUUCAGAUUAAGUAAUAUGUUCCCAGAGGUGGAAAUUAUACACCAGUACAAUAGUUUGAAAAAUCCAGUCCUGAUUUACAGUAAGAAGGUGAUGAAUGAUUCAAGUGCAUUUUAACCUUAAAAAUCUUCUUGGCAUUUUUCUAAUUUAAAGCUUUAACUGUCUGUAUUCAAAAUAGUGUUUAUAAUCCAUAAAUCAAACAAACAGUAUUGCUAAAUUUAGAAAUAGUAAAAUAGUCAAUGACAAAUGUUUCACUUUGUCACUGAAGACAUUAAGAAAUAUUUAUAAUCAAAGUGUUUGUUAUUGGAUUUAUUAAGUUUCUUUUAGUAUGAUGACAACACGGCUAAAGCUUUAAACAAAGUUACGAAAGUGCAAUAUGAAUUAUCACAUGGCCAUUCCUCGAUUUUACAACAGGCUGGCAAAAUGAAGUGGUAAACUGGUAUUUGUUCCAGUGUUUGCUGGUGUUUUCCGUAGUGGUAUCUGAUUAUUUUCAUUGAAUAUCCAUAUAAAAAAAAUAAAAAAUGGUGUCCAGGUAGGCAAAUACAAACUGAAAUAAUGGUUGAGUCUAGUUCCCAUAAGGGAAAAGGACCUGGGGGAGUGACAAUGGUGUGGUUUUAACCAAGGGACUGCUGUACCAGCGGUGUAUGUUCUUUUAAAGCUACCCACGCCAAAAGUAAUCUCGAUCACAAAACAUAGGAUUAGAAAAUCCGGAUCACUUUUAUUCAGAUUACAAGUUUUGAAAUAACUGCCCCAGGGCCUUUAAACGACGAGCCGAGGACUUGAGUAAUUUGAGAAACUAUCCAAUCACAGCAGUCCCUCGAUUGAAACCACGCUGUCGUCACGUUACUCCUCUAGGUCCUUUCCUCUUAUGGGAACUAGCCUCAAUGAGAAUGAGAAGGUAAAUCAGUCAAGGUGAUAAGUCUGAAGCAAAAAACAAACUAGGAUAUAAUAUGUAAUAGACAAGAACAAGGAGGUCUAAUCUAGACUUUAAAACUUC